CCAGACGGUUGGACGGUCGCGCCCGGGCAAUGGGGAAACCCGCCCGGGUGAGGAAAGUCCGGGCUCCACGGAAACACGGUGCCGGUUAACGGCCGGCGGGGGCGACCCCAGGGAAAGUGCCACAGAAAGCAAACCGCCGGAUCUCGAUCCGGUAAGGGUGAAAGGGUGCGGUAAGAGCGCACCGCCUGCCCGGCGACGGGGAGGGCAUGGUAAACCCCACCGGGAGCAAAACCGAAUAGGGACGGUAGCCGCCUUUCGAGCGGCAGGCGCGUUUCCGCGUCCCGUCCGGGUAGGUUGCGCGAGGCGGCCGGCAACGGCCGUCCCAGAUGAAUGGCCGUCCAUUGUCCGCAAGGACAGGGACAGAACCCGGCUUACAGACCGUCUGGCCCU
rnacentral:RNase_P_RNA from 1 species